GGGGUUAUAGCUCAGUUGGUUAGAGCGCUACGUUGACAUCGUAGAGGUCACAGAUUCGAGUUCUGUUAACCCCACCA
rnacentral:tRNA from 1 species